rnacentral:rRNA from 1 species
UGUUGCGGUUAAACGCUCGUAGUCGGCUUCAGACCAUCAGAAGCCUGGCUCGGGGUCUCGGGUCUGUGCCUCGCAAGGGGUGCGCCUUGGUCUUGGGCCGGGUGGGCGGCGGUCAAUCGUGCCCAGUGGCGUGUCGCGGCUCGCCGUGGCUUACAGGGCCUUCGGGAUCAAAACCCGGCUUCCGCAAGGGGGUCGGGUCCCGUCGGUCUGGCUCUGGGUACCAAUUACCAUGAUUAAACCGGAGUGAUCAAAGCAAACCGCUGCGGUUACUGCACGGAUUAGCAUGGCAUAAGGAUGCGUCGGGUUGGUCUCGUAGCGGGCCUCCUCGGCAAUUCCGCGAAAGGGGUGUUCGGGGGCAGCCGAAUUGCCGGGCUAGUGGUGAAAUACGUUGACCCUGGCAAGUCGACCGAAAGCGAAAGCAGCUGUCAAGGGCACACCCGUUGAUCAAGAGCGAAAGUUAAGGGUUCGAAGACGAUCAGAUACCGUCGUAGUCUUAACUAUAAAUGAUACUGGCCAGGGAUAGGGCAAUGUCCAUCUCGACUCCCCCCGGACUUUUGGGAAACCAAAGCCUAUGAGUUCUGGGGGGAGUAUGGUCGCAAGGCUGAAACUUAAAGGAAUUGACGGAAGGGCACACAAAGAGUGGAACCUGCGGUUA